rnacentral:rRNA from 1 species
UAGCUUACCAGAAAGGGACGGCUAACUACGUGCCAGCAGCCGCGGUAAUACGUAGGUCCCGAGCGUUGUCCGGAUUUAUUGGGCGUAAAGCGAGCGCAGGCGGUUUGAUAAGUCUGAAGUUAAAGGCUGUGGCUCAACCAUAGUUCGCUUUGGAAACUGUCAAACUUGAGUGCAGAAGGGGAGAGUGGAAUUCCAUGUGUAGCGGUGAAAUGCGUAGAUAUAUGGAGGAACACCGGUGGCGAAAGCGGCUCUCUGGUCUGUAACUGACGCUGAGGCUCGAAAGCGUGGGGAGCGAACAGGAUUAGAUACCCUGGUAGUCCACGCCGUAAACGAUGAGUGCUAGGUGUUGGAUCCUUUCCGGGAUUCAGUGCCGCAGCUAACGCAUUAAGCACUCCGCCUGGGGAGUACGACCGCAAGGUU